UACGUAGGUGGCGAGCGUUGUCCGGAUUUACUGGGCGUAAAGAGCGCGCAGGCGGCUGGUCAAGUCCGAUGUGAAAGCUCCCGGCUUAACUGGGAAAUUGCAUCGGAAACUGAUCGGCUGGAAGGUGGGAGAGGGUAGCGGAAUUCCCGGUGUAGCGGUGAAAUGCGCAGAUAUCGGGAGGAACACCACUGGCGAAGGCAGCUCGCUGGGACGUUACUGACGCUGAGACGCGAAAGCGUGGGGAGCAAACAGG
rnacentral:rRNA from 1 species